rnacentral:lncRNA from 1 species
ACAACCAAGAUCUAAAUUUGUGAUUAAUCCAGUUGGUUGGGCUAGGUGCCUGGGGAGCUUUGGGGAAGGAGGGACUGAGCACCCCACCCUCAAGUGGCAAAGGGUGUCUUCUACAAGUCUCCAUCAGCUCCACUCUCCACACGCCCCACACACAUUCAAUCACAGCCUCAAGUUCAAAAGUGAAUUAAAACUCAAAGAAGCCUGGGGACAGGGACAAGAGUACUUCUGUCAUUCAUUCUCUUCCCCUGCUUCCUUGGGGACAAGGGUGGCCUGGAGGAACAAUAGUGUCCCCUGGCCCCUUCUUCCUGCAUUGGGUUAGAAAAGGCAGCAGAAAGCAGUGGGGAUGACAAAGACACACACACACACACACACACACACACACACACACACACACACCCCAGGCUUGAGAAGGGAGGAGGAGGAGGCGUCUCUGGCUGGACGGACAGACUGUUAUUUUGGUGGUGGGCAUGGUCCCAGAUAGGGGCAGCGUUCCCCUUUUUCCUGGCUUUUCAGGGAGAGCAGCAAGAGAAAGAAAGAAGCAAACGAAAUUCCUGAAUGGAUAAGAGAUGCUACGUCAGCGGUACUGGAGCCGCAUCCUCCACUCCACGAGAAGAGAAGAGCUAGGAGAGACCAGCGGGCGGUAGCUGCGGCGAGUGGCCUCUCCGUGCGGCACAGAGGCAAGAAGCAGCCAUCCAUCCAGAAGCAGCCUCCGUGUUCCGUUUGUCCGGAUGUCAUCGUAGGUGGCCGGCAUCUCUGGCUUUGGGCUUCUCCCCUGGGGGCGGGUGGGUGCUCCACCCUCCCGCCCACUCUCUGAGGACAUGAGGAACAUGGUAUCCAGCACCACGGACAGCUCCCAGCGAUCCCAGAGGACUCAAGGCUAUGGGUGAUGUCGAAGGUGCGGAAGAAUCAAGUUGGAAAGACCAGCAGGAGACAGACAGAGUAAGGUUCCUUGAAUGCUUGGUUUAUGUGCCUGGCUGGAGGAGACACCCAUGGCCUUGCAGAGGGAGCGUUCUGGUGGGAAAGCAGACACAACCCACCCUAGGCCCGUGGUUUCCCUGCAAGAAGCCCAGUGGCUUUCUGGAGGACACUUUUCCUGGAGGAAGUGACUCAAGAGCAGCAUAAGCCAGGCUCUAUGGAAUGUUGGGUGAGCUGCUUGAGGAACUCCAAGGCCUGUCCCACAGUCUUCCAGCCUCCGACUCUCCGGCCCUCAGCGAGGAAGUCCCACUGGUUUUUUUGGUUGGUUUUUUUUUUUUUUUUUAAGGUUUUUUGGUUUUUUUUUUUUUUUCUCAUUCCUGUCUUGGGAGCUUUCCCCAACCAGGAGAGUGAAGAUGGGCGGAGCUGUCACACCAACUGUUAGCCUGCCUUGGCUGAGAGGAGAGGAGGCGAGGAGGGAGCGACCACCCAGCUUUAGUCGUUUUAAAACAGCUCCUGACCCUAGAAGAAGGGAAAUGGAGAUGAAGACCCAAUUGACUUGAGAGAGUGAUCUUUCAGCAGACUGAUCGAACACACAGGCUUCUCAGCCCACUCCCUCCAGUCAAGGUUAAGGCCUGGCAAAGGUGGAGGAAGAGAAGCUGAGGAGAAAAAGGCGAGGAGAGCCUAGGCACAGGAAGGUGACCGCUUCCCUCCCUCCCAGUGCUGAUUUCCUGUGGACCAGAUUCCAGCACAGUGGAGGGCCAGAGCUCAGGGAACAGACCCAGCAGCACAGCAAGUCUCCAAGGAAAGCUCUAGCAGUCUCCAGGGGCUGAAGGCAGGACUGGGGAAGCGGCUAGCCAGGCUGCAGAAGGCAAAUGCUCCCAGACGGCUGUCCAGCACGCAUCCGCCUUCCUAGCCAAGUUUCCUGGGCUCCUGCCACAGAUCUAAGCCUCAUCCUGACAUCCUGCCCUCUGUGCUCUGGGAUGGCCCAGGGGAGAUGCUUAGCCUUGGCUCCUUGUCUGCUGGUGGAGGGGACACACACCCUUUCUGGACCACAGACCAAAAAGAAGACCUGACGUCAUCCUGAGCACCCCCGCCAUGCAGAGUGUGUUCGCAGACUGCCAACGGGCUGGCUCCGGCCAGCAGAAGUGAACAGAGGUGGAGGUUCAGCCUGACAGCUUCUCCCCAAAGCCAUGGAGAGAAAACCUUACCACCCCCACCGCCCAGCUACUUCCAGCAAGUUGUCCAGCCUGACCCCUCUAUUUCCCCUGUUGUCUCUUAUCUGGGUCCCUGAGACCCACCCCAUCUCCAAUAAAGAACAUUGCAUACUGUG